CUUGUUCCUUGACACACACAUAUAUUUGUGCAUAGAUACCCUCACAUGGCUCCUCAUCUCUCCGUUUUCAUCCUCCUCAUCAUCAUUUUUUCCAGACUAUCAGUAAUGUCAAUGCCACGCCCCGAAGACACCGAAGACUCAUACUUAACAUCAGCGUACAGCGUGUAUAGAUCUGAAGACGUCAUUAGAUUACUCUACAGUUUGGAGCGAACAGUCUUCUACCUGGUGAAAAUUGUUAAUGCAAUGUUCUUCCUCCUGUGCACCAUCAUUGCUGUGUUGAAUUUCAAGGUGAACCAAAUUCGAGGUAACAUUCAGGAUUGUUAGAAACCAGACAGGUAUCUUUGGUGAGAA